CCUACGGGUGGCAGCAGUCGAGAAUCAUUCACAAUGGGGGAAACCCUGAUGGUGCGACGCCGCGUGGGGGAAUGAAGGUCUUCGGAUUGUAAACCCCUGUCAUGUGGGCGCAAAUUAAAAAGAUAGUACCACAAGAGGAAGCGACGGCUAACUCUGUGCCAGCAGCCGCGGUAAUACAGGGGUCUCAAGCGUUGUUCGGAAUCACUGGGCGUAACGCGUGCGUAGGCUGUUUCGGAAGUCAUGUGUGAAAGGCGCGGGCUCAGCCCGCGGACGGCACAUGAUACUGAGAGACUAGAGUAAGGGAGGGGGAACCGGAAUUCUCGGUGUAGCAGGGAAAUGCGUAGAUAUCGAGAGGAACACUCGUGGCGAAGGCGGGUUCCUGGACAUUAACUGACGCUGAGGCACGAAGGCCAGGGGAGCGAAAGGGAGUAGAUACCCUUGUAGUC
rnacentral:rRNA from 1 species